rnacentral:rRNA from 1 species
UACGUAGGGUGCGAGCGUUAAUCGGAAUUACUGGGCGUAAAGCGUGCGCAGGCGGUUUUUUAAGCCAGAUGUGAAAUCCCCGGGCUUAACCUGGGAACUGCAUUUGUGACUGCAAGGCUGGAGUUUGGCAGAGGAGACUGGAAUUCCUGGUGUAGCAGUGAAAUGCGUAGAUAUGUGGAGGAAUACCGAUGGCGAAGGCAGCCCCCUGGGUCGACACUGACGCUCAUGCACGAAAGCGUGGGGAGCAAACAGG